AUGAACCCUAGCCGCCGCUCUCCUCUCCCGCGACCCCCAACCACCACCGCUCCUCCCUCCUCUGCCUCGUCUCCCAACCACCCAACCCAAACUCCGGCGGCCUCCUCUCCCUCUAGCGCCGCCGCUCCACCCUCACCUUCCUUCCUCUCCAAAGGAAGGGAAGGGAAGGGAAGGGAUGGGAUGGGGAGGGGAGGGGAGGCCCCAGAUCGAGCGGAGCAACGCCCAGAUCCGCAGCGGCACCGGCACCAGCGCGUCGUCGCGCCGUCGUCCACCUGGUCCUCGAGGAAGGCCAUGGAUGGGGGCGGAACCCUAGCCGGCGACUCCUUUUCGUGGCCGCCAAAUCCUUGCCUGGAGCUGCACCGUCAUCCAUCUCUCUACAUGUUUCUAGAUUCGCUGUCGCUGCGCGCUGUGCUUCUGGAUCACGUGCAAGUCAUUGUCAUUGGAGAGCAGGGGUGGCUUGGUAUUUAUGGUGGGCAUGGAGCAGAGGAGGAUGAGAGGGGUGGCCAUGAGACCUGA
rnacentral:rRNA from 1 species